GACGAACGCUGGCGGCGUGCUUAACACAUGCAAGUCGAACGGAAAGGCCCUGCUUUUGUGGGGUGCUCGAGUGGCGAACGGGUGAGUAACACGUGAGUAACCUGCCCUUGACUUUGGGAUAACUUCAGGAAACUGGGGCUAAUACCGGAUAGGAGCUCCUGCUGCAUGGUGGGGGUUGGAAAGUUUCGGCGGGUGGGGAUGGACUCGCGGCUUAUCAGCUUGUUGGUGGGGUAGUGGCUUACCAAGGCUUUGACGGGUAGCCGGCCUGGGAGGGUGACCGGCCACAUGGGGACUGAGAUACGGCCCAGACUCCUACGGGAGGCAGCAGUGGGGAAUAUUGCACAAUGGGCGGAAGCCUGAUGCAGCAACGCCGCGUGCGGGAUGACGGCCUUCGGGUUGUAAACCGCUUUCGCCUGUGACGAAGCGUGAGUGACGGUAAUGGGUAAAGAAGCACCGGCUAACUACGUG
rnacentral:rRNA from 1 species